rnacentral:tRNA from 1 species
CCCUGUAGCUCAGCCUGGAUAGAGCGAUGCCCUCCUAAGGCAUAGGUCGCAGGUUCAAAUCCUGUCGGGG